UACAGAGGGUGCAAGCGUUGUUCGGAAUUAUUGGGCGUAAAGCGCGUGUAGGCGGCUUUGCAAGUCGGGUGUGAAAGCCCUCAGCUCAACUGAGGAAGUGCGCCCGAAACUGCAGAGCUUGAGUGCCGGAGAGGGUGGCGGAAUUCCCCAAGUAGAGGUGAAAUUCGUAGAUAUGGGGAGGAACACCGGUGGCGAAGGCGGCCACCUGGACGGUAAUGACGCUGAGACGCGAAAGCGUGGGUAGCAAACAGG
rnacentral:rRNA from 1 species